rnacentral:rRNA from 1 species
UUGUUGGUAAGGUAAAAGCUUACCAAGGCUUCGAUCAGUAGCUGGUCUGAGAGGACGACCAGCCACACUGGGACUGAGACACGGCCCAGACUCCUACGGGAGGCAGCAGUGGGGAAUUUUGGACAAUGGGGGCAACCCUGAUCCAGCCAUGCCGCGUGAGUGAAGAAGGCCUUCGGGUUGUAAAGCUCUUUCAGCCGGAACGAAACGGUUACGGUUAAUACCCGUGACUACUGACGGUACCGGAAGAAGAAGCACCGGCUAACUACGUGCCAGCAGCCGCGGUAAUACGUAGGGUGCGAGCGUUAAUCGGAAUUACUGGGCGUAAAGCGUGCGCAGGUGGUUUUGUAAGUCAGAUGUGAAAGCCCCGGGCUCAACCUGGGAACUGCGUUUGAAACUACAAGACUAGAGUGUGGCAGAGGGGGGUGGAAUUCCGCGUGUAGCAGUGAAAUGCGUAGAGAUGUGGAGGAACACCGAUGGCGAAGGCAGCCCCCUGGGUCAACACUGACGCUCAGGCACGAAAGCAUGGGGAGCAAACAGGAUUAGAUACCCUGGUAGUCCAUGCCCUAAACGAUGUCAACUAGUUGUCGGGCCUUUACGGGCUUGGUAACGUAGCUAACGCGUGAAGUUGACCGCCUGGGGAGUACGAUCGCAAGAUUAAAACUCAAAUGAAUUGACGGGGACCCGCACAAGCGGUGGAUUAUGUGGAUUAAUUCGAUGCAACGCGAAAAACCUUACCUACCCUUGACAUGUAUCGAAGCCCGCAGUAAAGCGGGGGUGCCCGAAAGGGAACGAUAACACAGGUGCUGCAUGGCUGUCGUCAGCUCGUGUCGUGAGAUGUUGGGUUAAGUCCCGCAACGAGCGCAACCCUUGUCAUUAAUUGCCAUCAUUUAGUUGGGCACUUUAAUGAGACUGCCGG